rnacentral:tRNA from 1 species
UUUUUAGGGAGACCAACUGAUUGAUGAAGAGAAUAAAUAAUUAAAGCUUCAUCAAAUCGGACACCCUAGGUCGGUCAAGGAAAAAGUAGAUUGGCUUUCAAACUGGUUUCGGUUCGGAAAAUGGGCUAUUAGCUCAGGUGGUUAGAGCGCACCCCUGAUAAGGGUGAGGUCCCUGGUUCGAGUCCAGGAUGGCCCACCUGUUCCAGGAAGAGGGGGUAUAGCUCAGCUGGUAGAGCGCUGCCUUUGCAAGGCAGAUGUCAGCGGUUCGAGUCCGCUUACCUCCAUACUUCCCCAAGAAGGCAGCAGGUUAAGCCAAACACCCGAAAAAAGAAACCGCAAAAAAAGGAACCGGAAAAAACGGAGCAUUCAGCACCUGUAGAAGUCAAAAGAACUUGCUCAGACUGCUGGACGUAAACGUUCAGUCAGAACCUUGAAAACUGCAUAGCGAGAGAAAAAGUCAAAGUCAGAUAGUAAUGCACAAUGCCCAAAAAGGCGUUUGUGUCUUACACAGACAAAAACCAAAAAUAGAU